CAACGAUCAAUCAAGGAGGCAGACUUCGGAGGAGGGAGUAUUGAAGAAAUUCGAGAACCUGUGGAUGAAUUGCACUCUAACUAUUACUUCUCGUCGAAUACGCUCAGAGACCUCCUUGAAGAAACAAUUAUUGGUUCCAAGAUUCUUAAAAACUAUAAUGAUGGAUUGGAGCUAUCAGAAGCUAGCCAAAAGUUCGUGACAGAUGUCGUUGCCAAGCACCAUCUGUACAAAAAGAAGAAGACAACUGCAGAACAGUUGAAUAUUUAUGCGGAGGUUAUCCUUGGAAUUUUCCCAAAAGAAGCAAAGACAACAUACUUUAUUGCAAGAGAUAAAGGCAAUCCUGGAGGCAAGCUUUAUAGCAGGAUAAAUUAUCUUAGACAAUCUAACCGGAAACGAGAAAGGGAAGAAGAUGAAUAUCUAAGUGGCGUUCAGAUAUCCAAACCCACUCAGCUGGAAAUACCGCACCAGGCCGUAAGUGCCCUUGACUGGCUUCAAUUGAACCACUCACCGUGGCCUACUGUCCUAUCGCAGUGGGAACAGUCGUUUGCGGCCAGGAAAGUUGAUCUAUGAAAACAAAAU